GAAAUGCGAUAAGUAAUGUGAAUUGCAGAAUUCUGUGAAUCAUCGAAUCUUUGAACGCACAUUGCGCCCUCUGGCAUUCCGGGGGGCAUGCCUGUCCGAGCGUCAUUACGCACACUCAAGCCCGGCUUGUGUGAUGGGCCCCGGCGUCUCGUUCGCGAGACGGGCCCGAAAGGCAGCGGCGGCGUCGACCCGAUGAGCCCGAGCGUAUGGGGACUUCUGUCACACGUUCGCGGUGCGGACCGGCGCCUGCUUGACUUUUCUCAUUAUCCAGGUUGACCUCGGAUCAGGUAGGGAUACCCGCUGAACUUAAGC
rnacentral:misc_RNA from 1 species